GACGAACGCUGGCGGCGUGCUUAACACAUGCAAGUCGAACGGAAAGGCCCUGCUUUUGUGGGGUGCUCGAGUGGCGAACGGGUGAGUAACACGUGAGUAACCUGCCCUUGACUUUGGGAUAACUUCAGGAAACUAGGGCUAAUACCGGAUAGGAGCUCCUGCUGCAUGGUGGGGGUUGGAAAGUUUCGGCGGUUGGGGAUGGACUCGCGGCUUAUCAGCUUGUUGGUGGGGUAGUGGAUUACCAAGGCUUUGACGGGUAGCCGGCCUGAGAGGGUGACCGGCCACAUUGGGACUGAGAUACGGCCCAGACUCCUACGGGAGGCAGCAGUGGGGAAUAUUGCACAAUGGGCGGAAGCCUGAUGCAGCAACGCCGCGUGCGGGAUGACGGCCUUCGGGUUGUAAACCGCUUUCGCCUGUGACGAAGCGUGAGUGACGGUAAUGGGUAAAGAAGCACCGGCUAACUACGUG
rnacentral:rRNA from 1 species